rnacentral:rRNA from 2 species
GUGACCUCAAAUCAGGUAGGACUACCCGCUGAACUUAAGCAUAUCAAUAAGCGGAGGAAAAGAAACUAACAAGGAUUCCCCUAGUAACUGCGAGUGAAGUGGGAAAAGCUCAAAUUUAAAAUCUGGCAGUCUCUGGCUGUCCGAGUUGUAAUCUAGAGAAGUGUUAUCCGCGCUGGACCGUGUACAAGUCUCCUGGAAUGGAGCGUCAUAGAGGGUGAGAAUCCCGUCUUUGACACGGACUGCCAGGGCUUUGUGAUGCGCUCUCAAAGAGUCGAGUUGUUUGGGAAUGCAGCUCAAAAUGGGUGGUAAAUUCCAUCUAAAGCUAAAUAUUGGCGAGAGACCGAUAGCGAACAAGUACCGUGAGGGAAAGAUGAAAAGAACUUUGGAAAGAGAGUUAAACAGUACGUGAAAUUGCUGAAAGGGAAACGCUUGAAGUCAGUCGCGUUGGUCAGGGAUCAACCUUGCUUUUGCUAGGUGUACUUUCUGGUUGACGGGUCAGCAUCAAUUUUGAUCAUUGGAAAAAGAUUAGGGGAAUGUGGCAUCCUUGGAUGUGUUAUAGCCCUUGGUUGUAUACAAUGGUUGGGAUUGAGGAGCUCAGCACGCCGCAAGGCCGGGUUUACCACGUACGUGCUAGA